rnacentral:lncRNA from 1 species
ACAUAACACAGAAACAUGUAUACAUGCAUAACUCAUCAAAACCACUACUUCUCACUUAAACAUGCAUCUCUCUCCCUUAACUUCCAUAAAACCUUCAGAAAACACAUAAACAGGUUCAAGAGCAUUACUUACCUCCUGUAACAAGAAGCUGAACACUCUGAACUAAGGAAAACGGACCAACUCUCCUCAAACUCUCAAACUCGCACAAACGGAGCUUUUUGCUUCACAACAGUCAAAACCUUGUGACUUAUCAAAACACUCUGCAAGAGCUGCUCAAACUCAGCAAAUAAACCAGGGGAGACGUGGCCAAGCUUCUGGCAACAAGUUGGACAUAACACCUGUCCAAAAUGCUGACUAAGGGAUACAAAACUGCUGGCUAAGCAACUCAGCUUCGGCUGCCGGAUCGCAUGCAAACUCAUGCAACAUUCGGGGGCCGAACUAAAUCUUCGGAAGCCGAACAUUGAGCACUUUCGGCGGCCGAACUUAUCUUCGGCGGCCGAACUUGGCUCCUCUGCCUUGGUUCAUUUCAACUCAAAAC